rnacentral:rRNA from 1 species
GGAUUAGCUAGUUGGUGAGGUAAUGGCUCACCAAGGCGACGAUCCGUAACUGGUCUGAGAGGAUGAUCAGUCACACUGGAACUGAGACACGGUCCAGACUCCUACGGGAGGCAGCAGUGGGGAAUAUUGGACAAUGGGCGAAAGCCUGAUCCAGCCAUGCCGCGUGUGUGAAGAAGGUCUUCGGAUUGUAAAGCGCUUUAGGUUGGGAGGAAGGGCAGUACAUUAAUACUUUGCUGUUUUGACGUUACCGACAGAAUAAGCACCGGCUAACUCUGUGCCAGCAGCCGCGGUAAUACAGAGGGUGCAAGCGUUAAUCGGAAUUACUGGGCGUAAAGCGCGCGUAGGUGGUUUGUUAAGUUGGAUGUGAAAUCCCCGGGCUCAACCUGGGAACUGCAUUCGUGACUGACUAGCUAGAGUAUGGUAGAGGGUGAUGGAAUUUCCUGUGUAGCGGUGAAAUGCGUAGAUAUACGAAGGAACACCGAUGGCGAAGGCGAUCACCUGGACUGAUACUGACACUGAUGUGCGAAAGCGUGGGGGAGCAAACAGGAUUAGAUACCCUGGUAGUCCACGCCGUAAACGAUGUCAACUGG